UACGAAGGGUGCAAGCGUUACUCGGAAUUACUGGGCGUAAAGCGUGCGUAGGUGGUUUGUUAAGUCUGAUGUGAAAUCCCCGGGCUCAACCUGGGAAUGGCAUUGGAUACUGGCAGGCUAGAGUGCGGUAGAGGGUGGUGGAAUUCCCGGUGUAGCAGUGAAAUGCGUAGAGAUCGGGAAGAACAUCAGUGGCGAAGGCGGCCUGCUGGGCUGUUGCUGACGCUGAGGCGCGACAGCGUGGGGAGCAAACAGG
rnacentral:rRNA from 1 species